UAGGAGUGUUUGUAGGAGCGCCAC
rnacentral:miRNA from 1 species